AAGGAAUAUUGCUCAAUGGGAGAAAUCCUGAAGCAGCAACGCCGCGUGGAGGAUGAAGGGUCUAUGACUUGUAAACUCCUGUAAAGAAGGAAAAAAUUCCCAUUAGAUGGGAGAUGAUGGUACUUCUGGAGUAAGCCCCGGCUAACUACGUGCCAGCAGCCGCGGUAAUACGUAGGGGGCAAGCGUUGUCCGGAUUUACUGGGUGUAAAGGGUGCUCAGGCGGAUUUGUAAGUCAGAGGUGAAAUCCUACAGCUUAACUGUGAAACUGCCUUUGAUACUGCAAGCCUAGAGUAUGGAAGAGAGUGAUGGAAUAUCUGGUGUAGCAGUGAAAUGCGUAGAUAUCAGAUAGAACACCAAUGGCGAAGGCAGUCACUUGGUCCAUUACUGACGCUAAAGCACGAAAGCGUGGGUAGCAAACA
rnacentral:rRNA from 1 species